rfam:Dasypus novemcinctus cont2.154153, whole genome shotgun sequence.
CUACACAGCACUGCACCCAGAGUCUGCCCCCAUAUAGCACACCUGGCGGUGUUCAGCCAAAAUCAAAGUGGUUU